rnacentral:rRNA from 1 species
GUGAGGAAUAUUGGACAAUGGGCGCAAGCCUGAUCCAGCCAUGCCGCGUGCAGGAAGACGCACCUAUGGUGUGUAAACUGCUUUUGUACGGGAAGAAACACUCCCUCGUGAGGGAGCUUGACGGUACCGUAAGAAUAAGGAUCGGCUAACUCCGUGCCAGCAGCCGCGGUAAUACGGAGGAUCCAAGCGUUAUCCGGAAUCAUUGGGUUUAAAGGGUCCGUAGGCGGUUUAAUAAGUCAGUGGUGAAAGCCCAUCGCUCAACGAUGGAACGGCCAUUGAUACUGUUAGACUUGAAUUACAAGGAAGUAACUAGAAUAUGUAGUGUAGCGGUGAAAUGCUUAGAUAUUACAUGGAAUACCAAUUGCGAAGGCAGGUUACUACUUGUGGAUUGACGCUGAUGGACGAAAGCGUGGGGAGCGAACAGGAUUAGAUACCCUGGUAGUCC